CUGUGGUACAAUUCGUCCUAGAAAAGGAAUCUGAAUUGAGAGGGGAUUUGGUGUGAAGCAGGGGAAGGUGUCGGGGUGCAUAGAUCUGUUCAUUAGGGCAGAUUAAAGUCAAGCCUCCCCUGAAAUUGGUGGAAAGGCUUGCAGCCCUCUGUGGUUUGGAAGAUUAUGCAGCUAUCACAAUGCACUUCAUGAGUAGGCUGUGGGGGCUGGAUUUAAUUUUAUGUCCUCCGGGAGAUUCUGGCAGUGUGUUUCUGUGGUGCGGAAUCAUUAUUUACAAUGAAACACUUACACGGAAGUAGUAAAGUUAAUGGAGGUUUCAGUGGAAUUAGCCUUGUUAAGUUCCCCAGUGACAGAGCCGGCUCCCCUCUCCAGUAACUGGAUCCAGCAAGGAGGUAGCACGCAGAGCUAGUGGAGUUUGGGAUGUGGAUGAAAUUGGGAGUGGCCCAAAGCAGCAAGCCCCAGGCCUUCAGUACUGGCCUGCAGCUGGGCUCUGUGAUGGGGCUGCCUCUCUGGCCAACAGCCCCUGCAUGGCCAUGCUGUGUGUUCCCAGUCCUGGCAGCUCCUUGCGGAGUAAAUGCUGUUAAUCCACAGCCCGUUGUUGACUCUUGCUGCUGCUGUCAGAAUUUCUGGGACCUGGAGCAUGCCGAGGGCUGUGAGAAGGUCAGAUGUGAUUCACCCCCGUGCUCACGUUCCCUAAAGUGUGACAGGACUGCACCACGUGGAAGGAGAGUCAUUCAGGAUGUCAUCUUCCUGGUACAGAUGGGAAGAAGGCCAGAUCUGGCUCCUCAUUCCUGAAAACAAACAGCCUUGACCCCAAUGUUGAUAGCAGUUCCUUGCCUCCAACUCCCAGCCUGUCCCUUCGAUGGGCCAGGUAGUUUUCCAUGGCGAUGCAGACCAGGUAUGGGAAUAUCCAAUUCACUUUACUUUUCAAUACUUUCAAUCCAGGAAACACUUACUGAAUGUUGGCUCUGUAAAAUCACCAUGGAAACCCAAGUGGAAUCUUUAAAAUACUCUAAGGAAAUUGUUCCGAGUUCCCACAUCCCACCGACACUUCAGUGAGCAGGAAGGGUGCAUCUUAGUCCAGUGCAUGCCUGCUUGCAUUCAACCUGAAUGGCAGAAAGGGGGAAACAGAUGGAGGAAAAUGUGUAAAGCUGAUGAUACGGCUUUUUGUCCUGGGUGGUGUAAUAUUAUGCUUCCAAGGAAGAAGGGUGAGCAGCCAGAGCUUUAAUUUCCACUGGAGCAAAGAGAUGAGUUUAGUCACAGCUGCCUCUGCUCAAUGGUAUCAUCGCCCACACACUCUAUACCAGGGCAGGACCUACAAAGCAAUGUCGUGGUGCCUAGUGACAGCCUUGUCUGCAGCACCAUGCGGCACAGCGGGGGCUGUGGGCUACAGAAUCACAGAUCCUGGAUUACAAGGGGCCCUUAUCACGCAGCAGGAGCUGGGCUCAUACCUGACACAAGGACUAGAAACCAUAGAAUCAUGGUCCUGACUGGGGUCUUAGAGGAAUGGGUAGAUUCCAUGUGGCUUGUUUUAAAGAAAGACAGAAGUUUCAACUGUGCUUAGAGAAGUUCCAACUUAGAAAAGGGGAAGAUGUGGCUUUGGCAUUUAAGUUCAUUAGGAUGGUUAUAUAUCUUUGGGUUCCAGGUGACUCCCCUUCCUCCUCCCAAUCAAACUAGCUUUAAAGCAUGAAGGAAAUGUGCUGGUUCAGUGAAUUAAAAAGUCCA
ensembl:lincRNA